rnacentral:rRNA from 1 species
AUUGAACGCUGGCGGCAGGCCUAACACAUGCAAGUCGAGCGGAUGAAGGUAGCUUGCUACCUGAUUCAGCGGCGGACGGGUGAGUAAUGCCUAGGAAUCUGCCUGGUAGUGGGGGACCACGUUUCGAAAGGAACGCUAAUACCGCAUACGUCCUACGGGAGAAAGUGGGGGAUCUUCGGACCUCACGCUAUCAGAUGAGCCUAGGUACGAUUAGCUAGUUGGUGAGGUAAAGGCUCACCAAGGCGACGAUCGUUAACUGGUCUGAGAGGAUGAUCAGUCACACUGGAACUGAGACACGGUCCAGACUCCUACGGGAGGCAGCAGUGGGGAAUAUUGGACAAUGGGCGAAAGCCUGAUCCAGCCAUGCCGCGUGUGUGAAGAAGGUCUUCGGAUUGUAAAGCACUUUAAGUUGGGAGGAAGGGCAGUAAGUUAAUACCUUGCUGUUUUGACGUUACCGACAGAAUAAGCACCGGCUAACUUCGUGCCAGCCGCCGCCGUAACAC